rnacentral:rRNA from 2 species
CAGCAUUGCCUAGUACGGCGAGUGAAGCGGCAACAGCUCAAAUUUGAAAUCUGGCUCUCGGGCCCGAGUUGUAAUUUGUAGAGGAUGACUUUGAUGCGGUGCCUUCCGAGUUCCCUGGAACGGGACGCCAUAGAGGGUGAGAGCCCCGUCUGGUUGGAUGCCAAAUCUCUGUAAGUCUCCUUCGACGAGUCGAGUAGUUUGGGAAUGCUGCUCUAAAUGGGAGGUAUAUGUCUUCUAAAGCUAAAUACCGGCCAGAGACCGAUAGCGCACAAGUAGAGUGAUCGAAAGAUGAAAAGCACUUUGAAAAGAGAGUUAAAAAGUACGUGAAAUUGUUGAAAGGGAAGCGUUUAUGACCAGACUUGGGCUUGGUUAAUCAUCUGGGGUUCUCCCCAGUGCACUUUUCCAGUUCAGGCCAGCAUCAGUUUUCGCCGGGGGAUAAAGACUUCGGGAAUGUGGCUCCUCUCGGGGAGUGUUAUAGCCCGUUGUGUAAUACCCUGGCGGGGACUGAGGUUCGCGCUUCUGCAAGGAUGCUGGCGUAAUGGUCAUCAACGACCCGUCUUGAAACCACGGACCA